rnacentral:rRNA from 1 species
AGUGAACGCUGGCGGCAGGCUUAACACAUGCAAGUCGAACGGAAAGACUGUUACUGCCAGCUGUUCUCGAUGGGCAGACGGGGGAGGAAGAGGUAUAUAUUGGGCUCUACACUUUCGUGGAGGCCGAGGUAACGGGAUCUACGAUCAUAUCGGACACGACCUUCGGUUCCAUGCAGGAGAGCUUCUGCCGUUGGGGGUUAGCUUGCGGCGUUGUAGGUUUUGCUUGUGGGCGGGGUAAAGGACCACCUGGGCGAGGAUCCGUAGCUGGUGUGAGAGGAUGAUCAGCCACACUGGAAGUGAGACACGGACCAGACUCCUACGGGAGGCAGCAGUGGGGAAUGUUGGACAAUGGGCGCAAGCCUGACCCAGCGAUACCGCGUGGGUGAAGAAGGCCUUCGGGGUGUAAAGCCCUUUUGUUGGGAAAGAAAAGCAGCAGGUUAAUACCCCGCUGUUCUGACGGUACCCAAAGAAUAAGCACCGGCUAACUUCGUG